ACGUUUCAGCUCUUGCACAGAGCUUUCAUCAGGACAAAUACCAAAUAUGAUGUCCUGAUGAAAGCUCCGUGCAGGAGCUGAAACGU